GAUACUUACCUGGCAGGGGAGAUACCAUGAUCACGAAGGUGGUUUUCCCAGGGCGAGGCUUAUCCAUUGCACUCCGGAUGUGCUGACCCCUGCGAUUUCCCCAAAUGCGGGAAACUCGACUGCAUAAUUUGUGGUAGUGGGGGACUGCGUUCGCGCUCUCCCCUG
rnacentral:snRNA from 1 species